rnacentral:lncRNA from 1 species
GACAAUUUACCAGAGCUUUGAACGUAUAAAUUGAACUACUUUAAAUUCACCACUCCAUCAAGGAAGGGAUUCCCCUAGGCUUAAACUACCGACCCUACGCGUAAAGGGGAGUAGCUGAUCUCCAACUCAGGCCCAAUCCCGAGCCCAAGUCCUUGGGGCAGCUAGUCAACAGUAGAAAAUGGGACUACAUAUCAAAUCCUUAAACAUGCAAAUGUUGAAUUAUUUAUAGCAAGCAGUGUGAGUCCAAUUUCAAAGUUCUAAAGUUAAUGCUAAGCCCAUUAUGCCUCUAUUGAUUCUACCAUGGAAUGGGCUUGACUUAACAAAUUAAAGACUUGAUUUCGAAACACUAAUCAAUUAUCAGGCUUUUAUGACUCCACAUUACACAACUGCUUGGCAGCCUUGGCUAUUGAAACAGACCUACAAUUUACGAAUGAGCUACUGGGCUCGAAUAACAAGCCCAAAAUAAAGCAUCAACCUAUUUUAAAGGCAGGCCCUCCCAAGGCCAUGUGCUCAAUGAGACCAAACCAUGAUGGAUUAGGGUUGAGGAUCACAAACCUAAUAUCGAGUUUCUGCCAAAACAGGUGAUCAUUCACAUUUAGUCACAAGCCAACAUGUUUCACUAACAAUCAGUAAUUAGUACAUCAAGGUACUUUUCUACAUUAUCAGGUGAGGCUGUUUGAUUGCAGAUUAUAAAAUGCCUAUUUUUAAACUAGACUUGCCCAAUCCUCAUGGAAAUCAAACCAGGAACUUUCAAUCUUGACCCCAUUCAAUCCAUAAACAUAACAUGCUAGUUAUUGGGAUAUUAAGAAAACCAAGCUAAACUCAUUCUUUAAGAAAUAAAUACCAGAAUCAAAGAUGGAACUGACAUGCAAAUAAUCAUUAUAACUCAUUCUAUGGCCUUUUAUACUUAAGAUGAAUUUGACUUCAGCAUUUGAAAUAAGCUGACAACAAUAACCUCAAUAAACUUCCAUGCAAAGAGAUAAGAUGACUAAACUUAAAUGCAUACAUGAGUUUCAAUUAAAACUGAGAAUAAUGAGAACCCAAAAUACAAUCAACCUUGACUAAACCUACAGUUAGUCAGGCUUCCAGAAUAGUUCAUAAUCAUGCUAAAGUCCAAUUAUACAAUACCAAAUUCAAUUACAAACUCAAAUGGCCAAAGUGUGGCCCAAGUUCCAUAGCAUCCCUAUGUCACAUAUACUAAUAGCACUCAUUUACUUGAACUAAAAUUCAGUCUAUUGAGACAACAAACAGAUGUCGAAUGUAAAAUCAAGUAGUACUAUUAAAUUAACAGAGCUUAGGAAUGCCAUGCUUCAACUCAGCUUUUCAUUUCAAUCUCCAGAUUUACUUCACAACAUUGAGGAUCAAAGUAGAUACCUGGAUAUAACCAAAAUAGCUACAGAAUUUCAGCAAAAAAGUGGUAAGGUCAGCAGUGGUUAAACAACAAAACAACUAGUAGGAUCAACUUCAGCAAAAUAGUCCCAAUCGAACAGUAACCCAACAAGCUUUAAACCAAUUUGAAGACCAAAUUCAACCCAUUUGUGUGCUCAGUUGAGUCUAGAUUAUUUUAGAAAUUGAAAAGAAAAAAGAAUUGAAUAGGAGAGAUCCAAUGAAACAAUAAUUUUAGUCAUUUGUAUUGUUCUCUAUUUUUAACUGUUCAAUUCUGCCUUGAAAGGCAAAGAAAGAUGCCUUUAUAGGCAAGGAAAUAGGGCAACAAUAAAGGGAUUAGAUUUGCAUUUUAGUCCUUUUGAAUUUUUUUGUUUUAGCUAACCAAUCCUUAGUUAAAAAGCAGAAAUUCAAUUUAAACCCCCACCCAGCUUCCUAGAAUCUUCUCUUUCAGUUAUACAAAAAUUCCAUAUCCCAAACUACCCAAAUUACCCCUCAGUUACCUUGUUUUUAACCCUGAACCUUAAAUAGACUAUGGGUCAAAUUCACCCUGGGUCAAAUCCAUUAGGAACCCAGCCCAAACCUGGGCUGCAAAACCUGGAUUGACUUCCCUUUUCUUUGGGCUUGCCAGGCUAGAACGAAUCUCUUCUUGGGCUUCUGAAUUUCAGGGUUUGAGUUCAAUUGAAAGACAAAACCAUACAUCCCAAAAGCUAAUAGAGUCCUAAAGACUCUGAAACUCUGAGUCCCCAAAGGAAAAGUAGAGAUAGAAAAGCCCAACUUCGUAUAGACUCACAACCAGAAGACAAAACUAAUCAAAUGUAAAAAUACAUGCAAGCUUGGAUGGUUUAGAGAAAUAAAAGAAAAACAGAAAAAUAAGAACCAAAAAGAUAAAAGAAAGAAAAUAACAACUGAGAAUAGAACUAGGAAAAAUGAAAUUUAAAUAUCGGAAUACAAAGAGAAAAAUACCUAUGAAAUCCAAUUAACUUCAAAGUCUUCAAUAACAAAGAUGACUUGAACUCCGGCGAAUCCAAAGCUUGACUAAACGAUGAGAACCACAAAAAUAUUAGCCGAAAUUUUGUUCAUGGCUAAUUAUUCAUGCAACAAUCAUCAACGUGUGUCAAGAGGAUAUGGAACAGGGGCUCGAAAGAAUGAGAAACUUCAUGAACCAAUUGUCUGAACUUUGACCAAAUUGACAAGAAGGUCUUAUUGAUUGUUCAAACAAAGUUAUCUUGUUAAAGAUCUAGGUAAUUCACAAGGUGUUUACUACGGACUGAAGAUUUAACCUGAAAAAUCUGAGAAAAUGAGGAAUAGAUCGGAUUUUUAUGCUGUGAUCUGAAAUUUAGAGAAAUCGGGUGGUCUUUUGGAGAAACUAAUGGUAGGACAAGAAUGAGGAGAUGAUGGGGAUCAACUGGUUAAAAUUUGGAUAGAUUUGGCGUGUGCUCCGCCGCCGUGAAGCGAUUUCCGGGCCGCGGGGCGAUGGUUGAAGGAGGCGGUGAUUUCAGAGAAAAAGAUAUUAGGUUUUAUUUGGAAUGGACUAAAACGAAAGACCAGUAGGUGAGUUUGGUCGUUUAAUGACGGGGACAGAUGAAACGACAUAGUUUGGCAUCAUAACUACAUCAUUUGGUGAGUCGGACCGAUAUGCGUUUGGAUUUUGGGCUGAUUCUAGUCUGGAAUGAACUUUGGGCAUUAUUUGGACUAAUUUGGGAGGUUUCAAAAU